rnacentral:rRNA from 1 species
UUGAGCAUCAAACUUUUAAAUUGAAGAGUUUGAUCAUGGCUCAGAUUGAACGCUGGCGGCAGGCCUAACACAUGCAAGUCGAACGGUAACAGGAAGAAGCUUGCUUCUUUGCUGACGAGUGGCGGACGGGUGAGUAAUGUCUGGGAAACUGCCUGAUGGAGGGGGAUAACUA